CACGUAGGGUGCGAGCGUUGUCCGGAAUUAUUGGGCGUAAAGAGCUCGUAGGCGGUGUGUCACGUCGGCCGUGAAAACCUGCAGCUUAACUGUGGGCGUGCGGUCGAUACGGGCAUCACUGGAGUUCGGCAGGGGAGACUGGAAUUCCUGGUGUAGCGGUGAAAUGCGCAGAUAUCAGGAAGAACACCCGUGGCGAAAGCGGCUCUCUGGAACGGUACUGACGCUGAGACGCGAAAGCGUGGGGAGCGAACAGG
rnacentral:rRNA from 1 species